GGUCCCAUAGCUCAGUUGGUUAGAGCGUCGUACUAAUAUUAUGAUUGUAUCGUAAUGUCAGUAAAUGCGAAGGCCGUGAGUUCAAGCCUCACUGGGACCA
rnacentral:tRNA from 1 species